ACCAGCUCAUUAAAGAAACGUUACUCUGUUCAUAAAGAGAGAGAGUUAGGGGGAGAGAAAGAGUUGCGGAGAGUGUCAGAGUUAGAGAAAGAGUUUGAGGCAUAGAGUUGGAGAGAGUCAGAGGGAGAGUUGGAGGAAGAGAGAUGCAGAGUUGGAGAGAGAGGCAAAGUUAGAGAGAGAAAGAGGCUGAGGAAGAGAGAGAGUCCGAGAGAGAUUGAAUUAGAGAGAGAGAGAGAGUGAUUUAGAUGCACAGAGCUACAGAGAGAUGCAAUUAUUAUAUCAUUAUUCAAUUUCUUGAUUUCUUGAUUUCUUGUUGUAUGUUUGUGGUUUUGUUAAUUGUUAAUGAGUUUGGGAUUUGAAGAAAACGGGGUUCAAAGAUUUGUGUUUGUGUAUGAAUCAUGUUGGAUUUUCUUUGAGUUGUUGCAUCUUUAACAGGCUCUGUUAUAUAUAUAUAUUUUUUUUGGGUUUGAUGUUUAUAAUUGAUGGACUCGUAGUGGAUAAAGAUAAUCUUUAGCGGGGUUUAUGUAUGGGUAUUAUUUGUCUCUGAGUGUGUUUUAUAUGGGUAUUUGAAUGUGUUUUGCUUUAAUUUUAAUGGAAACAGAUAAAUUGUAGUGGGCUUCUUUCAUGUGUGUAUUAGUGAGUAUGGGGUUUCUGGUGUGUGAAUAUUAUAUGUUUGAUAUCUGUUUUCUUGCUUCCGGCCAAAUCACAGGAGAUUAUUACUGGCUAAGCCUGUUCACAUAAUUUCUUGAUUAUAGUCGGGUCAGGUUGGGUUGCCUUCAUUAGGUAAUUUUAUGUGCGUGUGUGUGUUGAGUUCUCUCUUCUGGAUUAGUUUGAUUCGAAUCGAGAAUUGUGUUUGUAAUUAUGUUUUUGACCUUUGUUGAUGAUGAAGUACUUCUAAUCUGAGUUUGAUUUAGAUUUUUUCUUGUAGAAAAUAAUAUAUACAUUAAUAUAUUGUUAGUAAAUUUAUUUCAUGUGGUUGUUUGGGAAUUUCAGAGUUAAUACUUUGAUUUCUGUAUUGACAGUUGGUGGACAAGAAUCCAUAUAAGGCAAUUUAUAUUUUGAGGACUGUGAUAAAUGUUGGUGAUCGAGUUGAUAGAUCUUUGAAAGACAUGGCAAUUGUGAUGAAACAGUUGGACGGACCCGAUGAGGCGAUUCAGUUGGGUUACAAAUCACUAUAAGUGGAUUGUCUUGAAGCUUGCAUAUAAUGAGAGAUAUCUGACCUUUUGUAAUGUGAUGGAAGAAUUGAAAUACAGAUACGAGAGAGAAGUAAAUCAUGGACAUCGAUCAGCGACUAAACAAUCUUAGAAGGAGAUCUACCACCAUCUUCUGUACUGGUACUUUGCAUAUCGUCCGUCCAGACAAAUACCGAGGCAAUGACCGAAAAUAUCUCUAACUCACAUGGAGUUGAUAAAAGUACAGUUGCAAAUGUGGAAUUAACAGAUAGGUCUGCAGUGAAUGCGGUACUGGAUGCACCAUUGUCUAAGAAGCUGGCCUCUGGGAUACUGUUUGUCAGACAAAAACAUAAGUGCUUAUGCUGUCUGAAGAUCCUCUGGAACAGGACUAUGUGGCCGGGCUAGCCCAGUUUCACAUCUCGAGGGAAUACACUAAAGAUCUGAGAGGAUGGAAGCUAAUAUGCAGCAGCUACAUAACUAAAGGCGCGGAUGUUGCAGAAGGAGUUAUGUCUGAGUUACAGAAGGUAGAUACAGUUAUACUUAUAAACCACAGCCGUAAAAAAGUGGCAGAAAUCUUGAGAUUCUCUAAGCAUCCGCUGAACCAGAAAUUCUGAUAAAUGGGAUGAGUUACCAUGAAAUUAGAGUUGGGUUACAAAUCACUAUAAUUGGAUUGUCUAGAAGCUUGCAUGCAAUGAGAAAUAUCUGACCAUUUAAAAAGUGAUGGAAGAACUGAAAUGCAGGUAUGCAGUGAAUGCUGUACUGGCACCAUUGUGUAAAAAGCUAGCCUCUAGGAAACUGUUGGUCAGACAAAAACUUAAGUUGUUUCAGUUAUUUUUUUUUUAUCCAUAAUUUCUUGUAGUUAAGUUUUAAAUUCAUUUUUUCCGAACUGCCAUCCUUACUGUUUAUCUGGUCUGAGGAUCUCAGGAGUAGGACUAUCUGGCUGGGCUGGCCCAGUUUCACCUGUCGAGGUGCCGAGCACAGUCAACAUGGUUUUGCGCAUUAAUGGAACUUGCAGAAGUCCCUGGGCUGCUGAUCGUUUGGGUUUUUAUAAGCAUUAUCUGGGUUAUACUUGUAACUUUUUUUCUCAAAGUUCUAACGCAUUAAAUGAACUAUGUAAAAUCAGGUAAGAGUGGUUGUGCCUCCCUAGCGUUUGACUGUAUAGAGAGUGGUGGAGUAGUUCCCUGCACAUUUGUCGGAAUAAAAAGAAUAUACCUUGUUCUAUAUCGGAAAUGGUUUAUUUUACUGCACAGCACUUUGGUUGAAGUCCCAAUCGAGUAAUAGUAUAUCAAAUAUCUGCUAAAAGGUAAGAGCUUUGCUAUCCAUUAUUUGCAUGUUAAGUGACAGGGAAUGCGCUGAAAGAUCUGAGAGGAUGGAAGCUAAUAAGCAGCAGUUACAUAACCAAAGGCGCGGAUGUUGCAGGAGUUAUGUCUUAGUUACAGAGGGCGGAUGCAGGUAUACUUGUAAAAAGUGACGAAAGUGAAAAAGCGCAAAAAAUCUUAAGAUUCUCUAAGCAUCGACUGAACCAGAAAAUCUGAUGGCUGGAUGAGUUCAAAGCAACUAAAAUCUUUGUCUGUUUAUCAAACUAGAGCUUCUUUGUAAUGUUAAUGUAGAAAAGUUAAAUUUAUAUUUGGUAUGAUUUGGAAACAAGGAACUCAAACAUGCAUCAAUCUACUAAAGAAGCUUUUAAAAAUUCUGGUCUAAAUGGGAGGGAUGUCACCCCAUUUAUGAGAUUGAUUGUAGUCUGGUUAACCACUAAAUUGGUCAGGAGAAGUGUUACCCGCGAAAAAGCUUGCUUCCGAUUUCAAACUCGACUGAGCAACAGGUGGAUUUACUCUGUGCGGUUGCAGAAGUUAGAGUUGGUUGAAGGACAUGCAUACGCUGUUUCAGGGAUUGUAGCAUUUAGUUAUGGUUCAGGUACCACCAAAAGGCGGUAGUUAUUUUCCUCGGCCAUUGAACAGUAUCAGUAAGUCCCAUUUUCUUUUGACCUGCCUCUAGAUCCUUUAUCUAGUAGGUCACAACUGUCCUGGGCAGGCCUGUUUCAAACCGCGGAAACCUGUAUUGUUGUACAUUUUCGAUGAAGUUCCUCUCUCCAGGUAACAUUUCUCCCUAUCAAUGCACAACGUUUAAUUUUACAAAGGGACUAUAUUUGCUAUCUCACAUGUUCCAUGGGAUUCUUCAGCGAAUUUGAUAUUGCUGGACUUGUCGUUUUAAUGGCCAGGGGUGUAGGCAACUGCUAAUAAAAAAAAGCAAUGGGUUUUCGCGACCAUUUACUCAGUGCAUAAAUCACAUUCCAAAAGACCAUCAAAUGAAUUGUUUGUAAUUAGCUUGUGCACACCAACUAGUGGCCAUGAUUUAUAUCUAACAAUCAGCUAUAACUUUGUGGGAUCAAUUGUGACUUUGUGAGCUAACGAUAGCACUCUACUUAUACACAUUAUUUCCUUGCAAGCAAUGGAGGCUGUUGUAUUAUAUGUGUUUAUAAUGUAAUAUUUCUUAUCAUACAUUUUGCAAAUUAAUUUAAUCUUACAAGAAGUAGUAGGUACUAUAUGUCAUCAGAUGGAUAAGAGAAACCCAUUCCUCUAAUUAAAUAAGUAAACUCAUAUGGAGAAUUAUGUAUAAUCAAUUAUUUAACUGUAUGCUAAUUGCGUCCCUAGUACUACUUAAGCUAUAAAGUGCUUAAUAUAGGGUUUAAUUAAUUACAAGAUAAAGUUAAAAAGAUUGGUAUCACUUAAUAUGACGAUAUCAAUAUGACUCAUUACCAAGUUUGAACCGCUUAGUAUGACAAUGUGACUCAUUUUCUCAGGACUGAUGGAGCUUUAUUUUUUAUCCAACUGUACAUAUAACAUGAUUGGUGCCACUUUAUAGUUGAUAUGACAAUAUGACUCAUUGACUGAGGAGUGAUAGAGCAUUCUGUCAAGUUAUAUGUACAUUAUACAACAUGAUUAUUCAAUGUCUAUUAUUAACCUCGUCGUCUGUAUGUUUUGAAUUGUUUUAAUAUACGUAUUCUAUAAAAUGAGAAUUCUACAGGCAUAUGGAUCUAUUUAAAUAAUAAGUUCUCAUUUCUCAUUUGUUCUGGUCGAGUGUAUGUAAUAGGAGUUCCUUUAAAACUAAUUACGUAAAUGAAUUUGCAGGUUGGUUUUUGUAAUAUCAUUAGGAGAGGAAAUGACCUAAUGAAUCAUAUCUGGGUGGCAGCAAUCACAAAAAUUUGGACUACUGCUUAGGUUAUGAACAUAGACAUUACAUUCGCCGAGAAGGUGCUGCGGUUGCUUAUCAAAAGCAAGCUGAAGUUUCAAGAUUGAUGCUAGCUAUGGCAUAUAGCAAAAAGUUACAACUAAUGGAGCUCCCCAGCUCGACUUUUUCUGUUUGCUGCAUACCAUUUUGUGGCAUCUUGUGUAGAUGAGGAACAAACAAGGCUUUACUUGUCCUGCAUUUGGCUCACGAAAUGCUUCACAGCGCAAAGAAACUUAUCCUGCAACAUGUAUGGAGAAGAUCUAGAUCUGCUCAAAUCUUUAGACAGAACUUUCAUGUAAUUUUGAGCAAGCAGUCUUAUUAUUGAAGUCCAGUACCAGAGGAAUGUGAUGCAUAUUUGGCAAAAGAAGCUAAGAAGAUGUUAACCGUAAACAAGUUGGUUUUUGUAAUAUCAUCAGGAGAGGAAAUGACCGAAUGAAUCAUAUCUGGGUGGCAGCAAUCACGAAAAUUUGGACUACUCCUUGGGUUAUGAACAUAGACAUUACAUUCGCCAAGAUGGUGCUGCUGUUGCUUCUCAAAAGCAGUCUGAAGUUUCAAGAUUGCUAUUUGGAAUAUAGCAAAAUGCUACAACUAAAGGAGCUCCCCAGCUCGACAUUUUCUGCUUGCUGCAUACAAUUUUGUGGCAUCUUGUGUAGAUGAGGAACAAACAAGGCUUUACAUAUCCCGCAUUUGGCUCACGAAAUGCUUCACAGCGCAUAGAAACUUAUCCUGCAACAUGUAUGGAGAAGAUCUAGAUCUGCUCAAAUCUUUGGACAGAACUGUCAUGUAAUUUUGAGGCAGUGUUAUUAUUGAAGUCCAGUACCAGAGGAAUGUGAUCCAAAUCUGGCAAAAGAAGCUGCGAAGAUGUUAACCGCAAACAAGUUGGUUUUUGUUAUAUCAUUAGGAGAGGAAGUGACCGAAUGAAUCUUAUCUGUGUGGCAGCAAUCACGAAAAUAUGUACUACUACUUAGGUUAUGAACAUACAUUACAUUCCCCGAGAUGGUGCUGCUGUUGCUUGUCAAAAGUGGGCUAAAGUUUCAAGAAUUGUAUGCAUAGUGUUAUCCUGUUACUGUAUGUGUGCUUCUGGUUUUCUGUUCACUCACUCUAAUACCGAGUUGAAUCUUGCGUGGUUCUUGGAGACUGCUGAGAAACUCAAACAAAAGAUUUUUACCUAUUCUUUUGAUUGGAAAAAUAAUUAUCCUCUCAAUGUUAUUCUAAUUGUAUUUCUAGAUGCUACCUACGGCAAAUAGCAAAAAGUUACAACUAAUGGAGCUCCCCAGCUCGACAUUUUCUGCUUGUUGCAUAUAAUUUUGUGGCAUCUUUUGUAGAUGAGGAACGAACAAGGCUUUACUUAUCCUGCAUUUUUCCCACGAAAUGCUUCACAGCGCUAAGAAACUUAUCCUGCAACAUGUAUGGAGAAGAUCUAGAUCUGCUCAAAUCUUUGGACAGAACGGUCAUGUAAUUGUGAGGCAGUGUUAUUAUUGAAGUCCAGUACCAGAGGAAUGUGAUGCAUAUUUGGCAAAAGAAGCUACGAAGUUGUUAACCGUAAACAAGUUGGUUUUUGUAAUAUCAUUAGGAGAGGAAAUGACCGAAUGAAUCAUAUCUGGGUGGCAGCAAUCACGAAAAAUUUGGACUACUCCUUAGGUUAUGAACAUAGACAUCACAUUCGCCAAGAAGUUUCUGCUGUUGCUCCUCAAAAGAGGGCUGAAGUUUCAAUUUUGGAUGAGGAACGAACGAGGCUUUACUUAUCCUGCAAUUGUCUCACGAAAUGCUUCACAGCGCAAACAAACUUAUCCUGCAAAAUGUAUGGAGAAGAUCUAGAUCUGCUCAAAUCUUUGGACAGAACUGUCAUGUAAUUUUGUGGCAGUGUUAUUAUUGAAGUCCUUUACCAGAGGAAUAUGAUGCAUAUUUGGCAAAAGAAGCUACGAAGAUGUUAACCGUAAACAAGUUGGUUUUUGUAAUAUCAUUAGGAGAGGAAAUGACCGAAUAAAUCAUAUCUGGGUGGCAGCAAUCACGAAAAAUUUGGACUACUCAGGUUAUGAACAUAGACAUUACAUUCGCCAAGAAGUUGAUGUUGUUGCUCCUCAAAAGAGGGCUGAAGUUUCAAUUUUGAUGCUAGCUAUUCGGCAUAUAGCAAAAAGUUACAAGUAAUGGAGCUCGACAGCUCAACAUUUUCUGCUUGCUGCAUACAACUUUGUGGCAUCUUGUGUAGUAGGAUGAGGAACGAACGAGGCUUUACUUAUCCUGCAUUUGUCUCACGAAAUGAUUCACAGCGCAAAGCGCCGCAAACAAACUUAUCCUGCAACAUGUAUGGAGAAGAUCUAGAUCUGCUCAAAUCUUUGGACAGAACUGUCAUGUAAUUUUGAGGUUGGUUUUUGUAAUAUCAUUAGGAGAGGAAAUGACCGAAUGAAUCAUAUCUGGGUGGCAGCAAUCACGAAAAAUUUGGACUACUCCUUAAGUUAUGAACAUAGACAUUACAUUCGCCAAGAAGUUGAUGCUGUUGCUCCUCAAAAGAGGGCUGAAGUUUCAAUUUUGAUGCUAGCUAUUUGGCAUAUAGCAAAAAGUUACAAGCAAUGGAGCUCGACAGCUCGAUAUUUUCUGCUUGCUGCACACAACUUUGUGGCAUCUUGUGUAGAUGAGGAAUGAAUGAGGCUUUACUCAUCCUGCAUUUGUCUCACGAAAUGAUUCACACCGCAAAGCGCCGCAAACAAACUUAUCCUGCAACAUGUAUGGAGAAGAUCUAGAUCUGCUCAAAUCUUUGGACAGAACUGUCAUGUAAUUUUGAGCGGGCAGUGUUAUUAUUGAAGUCCUUUACCAGAGGAAUAUGAUGCAUAUUUGGCAAAAGAAGCUACGAAGAUGUUAACCGUAAACAAGAGAGGAAAUGACCGAAUGAAUCAUAUCUGGGUGGCAGCAAUCACGAGAAAUUUGGACUACUCCUUAGGUUAUGAACAUAGACAUUACAUUCGCUAAGAAGUUGAUGCUGUUGCUCACUUGCUCCUCAAAAGAGGGCUGAAGUUUCAAUUUUGAUUGCUGAGAAACUCAAACAAAAGAUUUUUAUCUGUUCUUUUGAUUGGAAAAAUAAUUAUCCUCUCAAUGUAUUCUAAUUGUGCUUCUAGAUGGUUGCUAUUUGGAAUAUAGCAAUAUGCUACAACUAAUGGAGCUCCCCAGCUCGACAUUUUCUGCUUGUUGCAUAUAAUUUUGUGGCAUCUUUUGUAGAUGAGGAACGAACAAGGGUUUACUUAUCCUGCAUUUGUCCCACGAAAUGCUUCACAGCGCAAAGAAACUUAUCCUGCAACAUGUAUGGAGAAGAUCUAGAUCUGCUCAAAUCUUUGGACAGAACUGCCAUGUAAUUUUGAGUUUAAAAGCGUAUCAUGGAAAUUGGUAAAGGCCUUUUCUAUCGCAAGGGUUGCAAUUUCGAUCUCCAAAUGAGUUGGAAGAUGUCAUAGAACUCCAUGGGUCUAUCCAAGGCAAAGGCCGAAAGGGGGCUUCUAAUCUCUUCCAAGUCAUAUCAAGCAAGACAAUGGAAGCUCAUGGUCUCUUUUUAUCGUAAAGGAUGGGUUCAGUUCUCCUCCAAAUCUUAGGAAAGGCAAUUGGACAGGUUAUGAUUGAAACAACCAUCGUUUUUGGGCAAGGGUUUGUUUGGCUUAAGUUCUCCUCCAAAUCAUAAAAAGCAAAGGCUUCUGUUCUCUGCAACCUCUCAGAAGAAGCACCAUGUGAAGUGAGCAGAAUUUACAUUGCUUAUGAAGCAAAAUUCUGUACGAUAUACUUCCUGGAUGGAUUUCCAUAAAGACACAAUCUAAAAGCAGCAUGCCUUUAUGCCGUCCUUAUUGCUGAUUCUGGCCUUUGUAGAUUUUCUGCAGUAAACACAAAGAUAUCUAAAUAUCUAUUGCUUAUCCCAUUUUGGAUAUGCAGUUUAACAGAUUAUAACAAACAAAUGAAAAGGACAUUGCAAAUAUUUAUACUCCAAGUUACUCUGUUGCCAUUGGAUGUUAAAAGCUUGUCUAUUCCGUUAUAGUCAAAACUGAUUGUAUCUUCUUUCGCUAUACUCUGGUAUCAUAGUUAUUACAAUGGACGUUUUGCAUAAAAAAAUAUGUGGUGCACCCUGGUUAUGUACUCCGUAGCUAUAAAUAUACCAGUUCUUGUACUUGUUCCCCUAUAAAUAUAUAGUGUUAUCUCCUUACAAGGAAGAACUUUUCGGAAACAAUAGUCAUGCCACUUCAGAUUACCUCAAGGGUAAUUUUAGCUGAGUGUACCAUGGGAGAAUAGAAGCCAGCAUUAGGGAGCACAUGCGACAGCACGAAGAUAGUCAUAAGUAUUCUGCUGUGGCUGUGGUGCCCAAGGAACAAAGCCUGCCUCUUGGUUCUGUGGUGCAAACUGCUGACGCCAGUCCCUGAAUGGCCUAAGCGUUGUUUUAAGCUGAAGCAACUGCAUAUAUACCUCUGACUGCUGAUCACCAGCUUCCAUUGUUGGCAUGGAAGGAUUGACUUCAUAAUGCUGAUCACGGACAUACUCAUAUGUCAUUGAAGAUAAACCCGUCUCUGGAAUCAAAGCAAUUGUUGGUUUUGACAAGAGUUUGGGUACAAUCUGUCAAAAAAUCAAAGACAUCUGUUUCUGCUCCAUCACUAGGUCGGAAUAUUCUCCUCUUAUCCUCCUUCGUGUGAUUCCAGCUGCGCAGAGUCAUGUCCAUAGCAAACAUUCCAAUAGCUUUGGUAAAGAGAACAGGCGUCUCUCCUGUUAUCAUUCUCACAUCUUCGUCAGCUCUCAUUAUUUUCUUGAUUCGAGCAAGAAGAAUUUUUUUUCUUCAUAUUAUUGGUUGUCUGUUUGGCUUCCUUCUUUUGUCCAUCCCAGAACAAUUUAAGCUUCUGCUGCUGGUUGUGGAAAAGUUCAACUUGGCGGGGUGAACGAGAACUAGAUAUCUGAGGAAUAAGCAUUGGGGGCGCAUAAACAGGAGCUCCGAGACUGUGAUCAACUAAUACAGGCAUGGCUACAUAACCAAAGACAGGUACAG